AAAAAAGCCCUUUUCAGGGCCACAGAUUAAGAAAAAGCAGAAUCGU
rfam:Stegodyphus mimosarum contig96902, whole genome shotgun sequence.